UUGACAUCCAGAGAAUUUAGCAGNGAUGCUUUAGUGCCUUCGGGAACUCUGAGACAGGUGCUGCAUGGCUGACGUCAGCUCGUGUUGUGAAAUGUUGGGUUAAGUCCCGCAACGAGCGCAACCCUUAUCCUUUGUUGCCAGCACGUAAUGGUGGGAACUCAAAGGAGACUGCCGGUGAUAAACCGGAGGAAGGUGGGGAUGACGUCAAGUCAUCAUGGCCCUUACGAGUAGGGCUACACACGUGCUACAAUGGCGUAUACAAAGAGAAGCGACCUCGCGAGAGCAAGCGGACCUCAUAAAGUGCGUCGUAGUCCGGAUUGGAGUCUGCAACUCGACUCCAUGAAGUCGGAAUCGCUAGUAAUCGUAAAUCAGAAUGUUACGGUGAAUACGUUCCCGGGCCUUGUACACACCGCCCGUCACACCAUGGGAGUGGGUUGCAAAAGAAGUAGAUAGCUUAACCUUCGGGAGGGCGUUUACCACUUUGUGAUUCAUGACUGGGGUGAAGUCGUAACAAGGUAAGCGUAGUGCU
rnacentral:rRNA from 1 species